rnacentral:SRP_RNA from 1 species
UCUGGGCAUGGGGACACACACCUGUAAUCCCAGAUACAAUAGGGUGGUUGAAGCUGGUGGAUUUCUAGAGCUCAGGAGUUCUGAGUUGUAGAGAGCUAUGCAAAUCCAUUGUCUGCACUAAGUUCAACAUUAAUAUGGUGAGUCCCCAGGAAGGGGGUAGAGUGGGACCACCUGUUUGCUUAAGAAGGGGACAAACCAGACCAGGUCAGACAUGGAACCAGUCAAAGCUGUGCAGAUCGAUAGUGGGACUGGGCUUUGGUACAACCCCUGUAUUUCCAGCCUCAGAGAGAUGGGGAGACCUAGUUUUUA